AGGAGAUCGUUUCUGGCAACGCUUUAUGCUAGUUGCUACGGUGCAAAACAAACUUGUUUAUUUAUCGUUGCUGUAUUAAACGGCAACAAUCAGUCUAAAUAUCGCCGGCUAAUAAACCGAGAAACAUUCGAAAUGGUGAGACGUUGCUUAGUAGAGGGAUGUGACACACGAACAGGGUCGUCCGAAAUUUCGCUUCAUAGUUUUCCUAAGGAUCAAAAUAUAAUUCUGAAAUAGCUAAAAGCAUUUGGACGAAAGGAAUCGAGUCGAAAACGAUAUGUAUGUUCGAAACAUUUCCCCCUGUCAGCUUUUAAAGAUUCAAAGGAUUUUUCAAAAGGCCUGAAGUCAUUUGCAUUCCGGUGCUUUCUGCGGAAAACGAACAACAAAAUGAAGAUGAACCCACGAUUGUGAAUUUCCAUCGGUAGGCGCAUAUAUAUUAUUGUGUGUUCAACUGUGUUGCAUUAUUUUUAAUAACCCCUUGUUAUCGCCAUUACAACGACUCCUUGUGUGCCCCUUGUAUUUUUACCCGCGGAUUUUGGUCAGUUGAAUUGAAGCUAUGCUUGAAUACAGUUAUGUUAAGAACUGGUGAAUAAAAGAUUUGUAACGAAUGGCCAGUGUAUUUCUUUGAGAAUAAAACAAACUGUUUAAUUAUUCAAUUAUUUAUAAGUAGCUUCAAAACAGAUUCGAUACAGUCGAUGCACAGAGUUCCUUGAGGAAGAUGCAAUCGAAGUGAAUAGGGCUUUGCGGUAAGCGAUUCAAUAAAAUAUAUCCAUAUACAAAUUUCAAAAGAAAAAAAAGUAGAACUUUCAAAAAGCUCUGAAUACUGUAGAAAACAAGUAUAAAUGUAUGCCUUUGUUCAGAAUAAUAGGAUGUAAAUUAAAAUUGUAAAUUAUAAGACUUCUUACUACUUUAUAAUAAAAACAUUACUGUUUGCAGAUACUGAGCCCAAAAAAUUUGUAGUCAAAGUUAAUCAAAACAAUAUCUAAUACAUUUGUUAACGAAAAGUAUAUACUCGUAACACUAACACAAAACAGGAAAAAAACACACAGACACCCACGAAUCUACAAAUAAAAAUACAAUCGAAUAUACAAUCCACCGUUCUAUUAUUCACGAUAUGAAAUAGCUUAACAGUACAUUGGUGUAAUUAGUAAUAAACAGAAAACUAGUAGUGAA